GGGGUCGAUAAAUUAAGUACCAGUUACGCACUGGGGUCGAUGUAAUCAACUUAAUCCGUUUGUCUGUUCUUGCUUGUCCCCUCUGUGUUUAGCCCCUUGUGGGUAGUAAAGAAAUAAAUAUAUGUCAGCAGAAUUGCUUCCACCUCAGACUAAAUAUGUUUCAAAAAUUCCUCCAACAAAAAGAAACACCUCUAACUUGUGCCUCUUGCAAUAUUCAAAAAACCUUCUGACCAUUAAUUGCUAGACUUAGAAAUGCUCUUAUGAAUGGUUUACAAAAAUAUUUAGAGGAUCAUUAAGUUUUACAGUGUAUGUGUGUGUGAUUUGCAUAAUCAUGUAGGAAUCAAAGAGCAAGGUGAAAUGAAUUCCUGUAUCCUGCUUAGCACAUGAGUGCGUUACCAUUUUGUUCAUUUCUAUGAGCAGAUGCCAUUGUAUUGUUCAACUGUGCGAAUGGUUUUAUAACAAUGAUUAGAAUCCUAUUCAUUGUCUUGUUUUAUGUGAUCCCACGGUGAAGACUCCCCAAUUUGUCAAGGCACUGCUCACCAAUGAAUGAAUAAAUUGUUUGAUAAUAAGGGUUAUGCAUUUUCAAGAAAUAGAAUUCUUUUGUUUGUGAGAAUUUCUGCAUUUUGGUAGUUCUCUACUCUAAGACAUGUAAAGAGUCAUUUUGUAAUCUCUGUCUUUCACAUACAUCAGUAUUCUGGAUUGUUUGUGUAGCUCAAUGGUUCAUGCUGAAUUCCCUUCCUUAUACCAGCUUUUGUGAUACUGGAACGAGCUAUGUCUAACACAUGUAGAAAAAUUCAUGUUGCCAGAACAUGCAGCAUUGUCUACUCUGUACCGAUUUUCUCUUAGAGUUUCUCAUUUUCCUAAAUAUGUUGCCUUAAUUAUGGAUACUCUUUGUUGAAAGUUAAUAAUUCCGUUUCCCUCCUAUAACCUCAUUAUCCUUAACAGAAGAAAUUUCACAUUACAUAACUGAAUAUGUAAACCAAUUAAAUAGACUUUUGUAAGGAAGGGUAGAAUCCUGUAUCUAAUGAUACAUCAGUGAGUAUGUUUCUUACAUGAAUUAUGUCAUCAUCAGAGUAUAUCACCCUCCUAGCCGUUACAGGAUGUCUUAUGGUUCUAAUGGUCAAGGGUUAAGGAGGUAAAGUUCUUCAUUGCUCACUGAUCUAGUAGACAGGUGAAAUUUCUUCAAAGGGCUAGAGAAAUAUUUGGAUAAUGAGACCUUUCAAGAAAGAUGUGUAGACCAGUAAGUAGGUAGAUGACAAAGAGUGAAUUUAGCUUGCUGCUGCUGUUUCUUGAGAGAACCUCCCUCCCUGAUUGUGUAUAUUUAUAUAAGUAUGUAUAUAGAAUAUUAUAUAUAUGCAUGUAUCUAUGUAUAUAUAUAUGUGUAUAUAUAUGUAUAGCAGUAAAAAACCUGUUCUAAAGUUACAUUUAGUUUCUUGAUACUAAAGAUACUGCUAAAAUGAUAGUAUCCCAUUAAGAAAAAUCUUACGAAAUCUACCACCUAUGAUGUCUCCUAAAGAGAGAGAAAUAAAACAGAAACAAAAGAAAUUGUUUCAAAAACUGGUGACAAUCUAAUGUUAAAUUGUGAAAAAAAAAGGAAAAAAUACCUGUAAAGAAUAAAAAACUGCAGUUUAAC